CCUACGGGGGACAGCAGUGAGGAAUCUUGGUCAAUGGGCUUACGCCUGAACCAGCCAAGUCGCGUGAGGGAAGACUGCCCUAUGGGUUGUAAACCUCUUUUUUCAGGGAGCAACGCCGGCUACGUGUAGCCGGACUGCUAGUACCUGAUGAAAAAGCAUCGGCUAACUCCGUGCCAGCAGCCGCGGUAAUACGGAGGAUGCGAGCGUUAUCCGGAUUUAUUGGGUUUAACGGGUGCGUAGGCGGAAUGCCAAGUCAGCGGUAAAAUCGCGGGGCUCAACCUCGCUCCGCCGUUGAAACUGGCGGUCUUGAGUGGGCGAGAAGUAUGCGGAAUGCGUGGUGUAGCGGUGAAAUGCAUAGAUAUCACGCAGAACUCCGAUUGCGAAGGCAGCAUACCGGCGCCCAACUGACGCUGAAGCACGAAAGCGUGGGUAUCGAACAGGAUUAGAUACCCUUGUAGUC
rnacentral:rRNA from 1 species